rnacentral:rRNA from 1 species
UACGAAGGGGGCUAGCGUUGCUCGGAAUCACUGGGCGUAAAGCGCACGUAGGCGGCUUACUAAGUCAGGGGUGAAAUCCUGGAGCUCAACUCCAGAACUGCCUUUGAUACUGGUGAGCUUGAGUCCGGAAGAGGUGAGUGGAACUGCGAGUGUAGAGGUGAAAUUCGUAGAUAUUCGCAAGAACACCAGUGGCGAAGGCGGCUCACUGGUCCGGUACUGACGCUGAGGUGCGAAAGCGUGGGGGAGCAAACAGA